rnacentral:rRNA from 1 species
GACGAACGCUGGCGGCGUGCUUAACACAUGCAAGUCGAACGGAAAGGCCCUGCUUUUGUGGGGUGCUCGAGGGGCGAACGGGGGGGUAAAACGUGAUUAACCUCCCUUUGGCUUGGGGAAAACUUAAGGAAACGGGGGCAAAUACCGGAAAGGGGCCCCUGCGCCAUGGGGGGGGUGGGAAGGUUUCGGCGGUUGGGGAUGGACUCGCGGCUUAUCAGCUGGUUGGUGGGGUAGUGGCUUACCAAGGCUUUGACGGGUAGCCGGCCUGAGAGGGUGACCGGCCACAUUGGGACUGAGAUACGGCCCAGACUCCUACGGGAGGCAGCAGUGGGGAAUAUUGCACAAUGGGCGGAAGCCUGAUGCAGCAACGCCGCGUGCGGGAUGACGGCCUUCGGGUUGUAAACCGCUUUCGCCUGUGACGAAGCGUGAGUGACGGUAAUGGGUAAAGAAGCACCGGCUAACUACGUG